GAUGGACCAUCCAGCGGUUUUUCAGUUCUCGUGAUGAGUUGUCUGAAAGAAAUCGCUUGAAGGCCAUAAGGAGGAAGGAAUUUGGAAACGUUAUCCGCAAUUACAGGAAAAUAAUGCUUGUCUGUUUGUUCGCCUAAAGCGUUAAUAAAUGUUAAAAUACU